UUAACUAUUAUAUAGUACUCAGACGACACAUAAACAGGUUUUAGUUGGGUCUCUGGCGGGCACUUACAGGCGGCAGCCUACAGCAAGAAGCGUCCCGCCAAAGCAACAAGAGAAUAAAAUAUCAAGGGUGGGAGAUCUACCCGUAAGGGCAGGAACUCUGUAAUGAUCCUUCCGCAGGUUCACCUACGGAAA
rnacentral:misc_RNA from 1 species